UACGGAGGGUGCGAGCGUUGUCCGGAAUCACUGGGCGUAAAGGGCGCGUAGGUGGCCUUUGGAAGUCUGCGGUGAAAGCCCGGCGCUCAACGCCGGGUCGGCCGUGGAUACUCUCGGGCUCGAGCUUACUAGAGGCAGAUGGAAUUCCGGGUGUAGCGGUGGAAUGCGUAGAGAUCCGGAAGAACACCGGUGGCGAAGGCGGUCUGCUGGGGUAAUGCUGACACUGAUGCGCGACAGCGUGGGGAGCAAACAGG
rnacentral:rRNA from 1 species